rnacentral:rRNA from 1 species
AGAGUUUGAUCCUGGCUCAGGACGAACGCUGGCGGCGCGCCUAACACAUGCAAGUCGAACGAGAGAUGAAGAGCUUGCUCUUCAAAUCGAGUGGCGAACGGGUGAGUAACGCGUGAGGAACCUGCCUCAAAGAGGGGGACAACAGUUGGAAACGACUGCUAAUACCGCAUAAGCCCACGGCUCGGCAUCGAGCAGAGGGAAAAGGAGCAAUCCGCUUUGAGAUGGCCUCGCGUCCGAUUAGCUAGUUGGUGAGGUAACGGCCCACCAAGGCGACGAUCGGUAGCCGGACUGAGAGGUUGAACGGCCACAUUGGGACUGAGACACGGCCCAGACUCCUACGGGAGGCAGCAGUGGGGAAUAUUGCACAAUGGGGGAAACCCUGAUGCAGCGACGCCGCGUGGAGGAAGAAGGUUUUCGGAUUGUAAACUCCUGUCGUUAGGGACGAUAAUGACGGUACCUAACAAGAAAGCACCGGCUAACUACGUGCCAGCAGCCGCGGUAAAACGUAGGGUGCAAGCGUUGUCCGGAAUUACUGGGUGUAAAGGGAGCGCAGGCGGACCGGCAAGUUGGAAGUGAAAACUAUGGGCUCAACCCAUAAAUUGCUUUCAAAACUGCUGGCCUUGAGUAGUGCAGAGGUAGGUGGAAUUCCCGGUGUAGCGGUGGAAUGCGUAGAUAUCGGGAGGAACACCAGUGGCGAAGGCGACCUACUGGGCACCAACUGACGCUGAGGCUCGAAAGCAUGGGUAGCAAACAGGAUUAGAUACCCUGGUAGUCCAUGCCGUAAACGAUGAUUACUAGGUGUUGGAGGAUUGACCCCUUCAGUGCCGCAGUUAACACAAUAAGUAAUCCACCUGGGGAGUACGACCGCAAGGUUGAAACUCAAAGGAAUUGACGGGGGCC